UUCUAAGUGGUUGGGGCGCCUGGGUGGCUCAGUCGGUUAAGCGUCUGACUUCGGCUCAGGUCACGAUCUCGCGGUCUGUGGGUUCGAGCCCCGUGUCGGGCUCUGUGCUGACAGCUCAGAGCUUGGAGCCUGUUUCGGAUCCUGCGUCUCCCUCUUUCUCUGACCCUCCCCUGUUCAUGCUCUCUCUCUCUCUCUCUCUGUCUCAAAAAUAAAUAAAUGUUAAAAAAAAUUUUUUUUUAAAGUUCUAAGUGGUUUAGUUAUGUUCUGAAGCAAGCCUGGUGGGUGCUUUGGUGACUGCCUCAUUUGAACCCUCAUCUCCUGAUGUUGCCUUCAGCCUGUGAGGUUGAAGUAUGCAGUGGACUCCCAAGGCUAUAGUGAUGAAGACUUGUGGCCACGGGGGCCUCACCAACUGUGAGCAGCACCCCAUGUUAGGCCCACGCAGCUACAGGUGAGGAGGAGGAAGGACACCGGGAGGCAAGUAGAAAGAAACCGUGGCUCACAUUCUGUUGAGGCCAUUCCCGUGGUGCAGGGUGAGCAUGCUCCUUCACCGUGUGUGUGUGUGUGUGUGUGUGUGUGUGUGUGUGUGUGUGUGUUGUGUCUCGGUGUGGCUUGUUUUCAAUUAGACCAGGCCUGAAAAAAUGAAAGGGAAGAAUUUCACUUUGAGACCAUAUGGAGAUGACCAAAUUCUCCCCGCUCGGGGCCCCCGGGCAGAGUAAACUUGCACUGCUAGUCGUGAACAGCAGUGUGUAAUAAAACAUUCUUUCCUUGAACCCUUUUGACUGGGAGGGAGGCACAGGGGGAGAACACAGCAGGAAUUCUUUCUUUUCAGCUGCUUCCUACUCUGUUGCUUACAUUCACCCAACAGAUCUUAUUGGGCUGCUACUGUGUGUGAGAGAGACGGAGACAGAGUGUGUGUUUUAUGGAGGAGACUGAUUAGCCUGGGCUCCGUUUUUGUUGUCCUUGGUGGUGCUGUGGAUCCCAUUUUAGGUUUACUGCCCCUUGACAUUUCUUAAAAGGAGUCUUCAAAGCAGAAAGUCCUAUUCUGAAGGCAGGUUUCUGGGCAGUAAAGUUGACAGGGUUUAACAUCAGGAAAGUCAACCUGAUAGAAAAAGGAAACAGGAUAAACAAUUCAAGCUCCAUUCCACAAAGUUCUUGGAUGGGAAAGGCCCUGUUAAUGAAAACCCAGUGGCAGGCAUUCACUGUUCAUGUGGCCAGUGCUGGAGAGCGUGCAGUCCGUGGCUCACCUUCCCACGAGAUGACCCCGGCAUUUGUAGCCGUGGCGAAAUAGUAAAGCCAUUAGAUAAAAUCAGGCCAGUAAGACUCCGGUGUUUGUUUACUAAUGGGAUUUCUCAAAUCAAGUCACUGUUGACUUGUUCUCAGCUCCCCCCAUCUCUUUUUCCCUAGGCUCACCUAAUAGAAGUGCCCUUCUCUUCUGCAGCCAACCAAUUUAGUGCCUGCCCAUUUAGCGAAAUUUGCAUUUUACAUAUUGAACUUGAAACUGACUUGCUUAAUAUAUAACCAGGGCAGUAGCUAAGAAGUUUUUAUUUCGGUGAACACUUAGUGAUGGUAAAAAACGAGACUGUGGCAUUCUGGUCUUUGGGCAUAUUGUUUGUUACUGGUAAGACAGGGAAUCUGAGGAUUUUGCUGGUGGGACUUUGGGACUGUGUUGUAGAUGUGAGUUUCCAUUUGAGCUCGUGUACAAAUGGAAGACUGUUCAGAAUUCCUUUUACACACAAACAAAAAGAUUAUAUGGGGUUUUGCCUCAUAUGGAAUAGAUCAACAGUUUAAAGCCAGGUAUGUUGCCCUGAGUGGAAUUGGUGUGUGAAGCUAAAGCAGCUGACACUGUGAGCCCCACUUAUCAUUUUCCACACUAGCCAGGAAGCCUUCUGUGCUGGGAAAAUAUGAGUUGAAGGUAAAAACUGAACAACGGAAAAUUUCCAUAUAUUUUUUUGACUCCGUAGUGAGUGCUUACUGUCCACAAUUUUAGAUUUUAGCUUUUUUAGCAGUGCUCUGCAAACUGCCUGUGGUGAGAGACAGGUUUCUUCCUCUCCUUCUGUUUCCAGUCCACGGUGCAGCGAUACAUUUAGAAAUACAGUAAAAAUGAAUUAUUAGAAAAAUGAUCACCUGCUUGGAUGUUCCAUCAAUUACAAAUUGUUAUAAAGGCUUCUAACUGUGUACUCUCAAAGCCUGUACUUAUCCUCUGGGUGGGGAACAUUAGCAGUUUGGGAAUGAGCACGGGGCUCAGGGGCCAUACUUUGAGGAACACUGUUUUCCAGUACAUUCUGACCACUGCUUCUGUCUGUGAUGGUUAAAGGAGAAAAGAGCUAAAGAAGAGAUAUUUCAGCCGUUUGUCAUUUCGUUAAGCAUUUCUGUGCUAGCUCCUUCUAGCGCGUUCAUUAGUCUCUGCAUUCCAUUCUUUAUGUUGUGUACCUUUAGGUUAAUUACACAUGUCUUAACUUCCCAUUUCCUGCAAAUUAACCUUUACUUCAAAAAUGUAAGUGAUUAUAUACACUACUUUUCUCCAAAAUUAACUACCACACAGUUUGUUUUAGUGAGUAGCAUAUUGGUUUUUUUUUCUUUCUUAAAUACAUUUGAAAUAAAUCCAAACACCUGUCUUGCAUUUUGUAAACACGUAUUUUGGAGUGCAUUACACCUUCCAUGAUGCCAUACGUUUUGUAGGUCAGUCUGAGACAUUUAUACAAUAAUUAAGAAAAUGGAUAUUCUGCUAACUUCCUUUCUUUGGCUUUGAAUGCCUGUAAACAAGUAAACAGGAAGAAGGUCUUGUGAUUAGUAAUGCAGAAUUCACUCUUCAGUCCGAGGUCAUCUGGGAAAUAUCAACUACUUUCUCCUAUACGGCUAAACCCUGACUAAACAGUUUUUAGGGACUCAGACGAAACUGUCAUUUGAAGAUGGGGAUUGUUUACUCUUUAGUUUGCCAAUGAAAAGAGUAAAAAUAUAGAUGUAUAGAGCUACUAUUUGCUUCUUAUAUUUCCCGCAUUCACUCAUGAAUCUAAUUUCCCCUAAUCUUUUCCUUUCUUAAGGGCAGUCAACAGUCCUGCUGAGGAGGUUGCCUUCCUUUUUGGAGAGUGAGGACUGGUUCCCUUGGCAGUGCUGAGCCCCAGAAAAGAGAGGGCACUGAGCACUUGAUCUUGGUCUUCCACGUUUCUUGGUAACCCCAGCAUGGGACUCAGAAGACAGAGCUCCCAUAUCUGGAUGAGCAUACCCUUGGGGUAUUUUCAUAAUGCUUUUGUGGACAUAGUUCAGCAACUUAGCACCCACCAAGACCUGUCUCUCUCUGUCUCUUUCUCUCUCUCUCUCUCUCUCUCUCUCUCUCUCUCUCUCUCCUGCCUAUCUUUCCUCCUCUGACAAUGGUCCCUGGGACCUGGGGUUGGAAAUUCUCCCUCAGUCUCCUUUCCUUUCCCAUCGUCCUCCGGAUGGGCCCUGAUGAAUUUGUGCUGAGUCGGGAGCUUCCCUUCCCUUAGAACCUAGCACAAAGCAGUUCCUGUCAUCCUGGCAGUGGACGCUAGAGACAAAGCUUAAUUUACUUGACUCUAUAGCUGUCUUUUCAUUUGUAUGCCCUUCUUGUCUAUUCUUGCUCUAGUUCUCUUUUCCUUGAAUCUUUGCUUGUCCAUAUUUUAAAUUUUCUUCUAAAGGCACAAACAGCACAUCAGGUAAAGGGAGGCUUCAGGACCGGAGUGCAGGGUCUUCCAAAAACAAAGUUCAGAAUGGCCACCCUGAUCGUCACGGCGUGGCUGGUGUUACAUUAACAGCCCGGAGCUCUUGUGGCUCUCCUCAGAGCGUUGUGUGGGAAGCACCACAGUGUAAUAAAAAACGGUAAUGAUUAAGAG